rnacentral:rRNA from 1 species
CAGUCGCCGCGGGAAUACGGAGGGUGCAAGCGUUAUCCGGAUUUAUUGGGUUUAAAGGGUCCGUAGGUGGAUCUGUAAGUCAGUGGUGAAAUCUCACAGCUUAACUGUGAAACUGCCAUUGAUACUGCAGGUCUUGAGUAAAUUUGAAGUGGCUGGAAUAAGUAGUGUAGCGGUGAAAUGCAUAGAUAUUACUUAGAACACCAAUUGCGAAGGCAGGUCACUAAGAUUUAACUGACGCUGAUGGACGAAAGCGUGGGGAGCGAACAGGAUUAGAUACCCCCGUAGUCCCUGUCUCUUAUAC